rnacentral:rRNA from 2 species
GGUUAAAAGUUGGGAUUACUAACACUACAGGAUGGGCCCGCGGCGCAUUAGCUAGUUGGUAAGGUAAUGGCUUACCAAGGCGACGAUGCGUAGCCGACCUGAGAGGGUGAUCGGCCACACUGGGACUGAGACACGGCCCAGACUCCUACGGGAGGCAGCAGUAGGGAAUCUUCCGCAAUGGACGAAAGUCUGACGGAGCAACGCCGCGUGAGUGAUGAAGGUUUUCGGAUCGUAAAGCUCUGUUGUUAGGGAAGAACAAGUGCCGUUCGAACAGGUCGGCACCUUGACGGUACCUAACCAGAAAGCCACGGCUAACUACGUGCCAGCAGCCGCGGUAAUACGUAGGUGGCAAGCGUUGUCCGGAAUUAUUGGGCGUAAAGCGCGCGCAGGCGGUCUUUUAAGUCUGAUGUGAAAGCCCCCGGCUCAACCGGGGAGGGUCAUUGGAAACUGGGAGACUUGAGUACAGAAGAGGAGAGUGGAAUUCCACGUGUAGCGGUGAAAUGCGUAGAUAUGUGGAGGAACACCAGUGGCGAAGGCGACUCUCUGGUCUGUAACUGACGCUGAGGCGCGAAAGCGUGGGGAGCAAACAGGAUUAGAUACCCUGGUAGUCCACGCCGUAAACGAUGAGUGCUAGGUGUUAGGGGUUUCGAUGCCCUUAGUGCCGAAGUUAACACAUUAAGCACUCCGCCUGGGGAGUACGACCGCAAGGUUGAAACUCAAAGGAAUUGACGGGGGCCCGCACAAGCAGUGGAGCAUGUGGUUUAAUUCGAAGCAACGCGAAGAACCUUACCAGGUCUUGACAUCCUUUGACCACCCUAGAGAUAGGGCUUUCCCCUUCGGGGGACAAAGUGACAGGUGGUGCAUGGUUGUCGUCAGCUCGUGUCGUGAGAUGUUGGGUUAAGUCCCGCAACGAGCGCAACCCUUGAUCUUAGUUGCCAGCAUUCAGUUGGGCACUCUAAGGUGACUGCCGGUGACAAACCGGAGGAAGGUGGGGAUGACGUCAAAUCAUCAUGCCCCUUAUGACCUGGGCUACACACGUGCUACAAUGGAUGGUACAAAGGGCUGCGAAACCGCGAGGUUGAGCGAAUCCCAUAAAGCCA